UUCCGUCAUAGAUUGAAGCAAAACAACACAACAAACCGGCAGCUCAAAAGUUUCCAAGUGCGAUUGCGUGUAGCCAAAUCUUCCACGACCUUGCCGUAGCCGUGUGCCGUACACUCUUGAUAACAUCGGCCGUUUUCGGCUAAUGGCGAUGUAAACAGCUUUCAUUACUCACAAUGUGUAUGUUUUUUUCGAGGCAGAAAAUAAAGCAUGCAAUCAAGUAAUCUUGUUCUUAGGGAUGAUUGAGUCUUCCCACUUCACAUAUCACUUGAUUCUCAGGGCCGUCUAAAGACAACUCGGGGCCCUCCGUACCGUUAAACUAAAGGGACCCCAUAAUUGAGCAGGUACAGAUGCAGAGUUACAUUCGAUAAACGACAAGGCACAAAAUGAUUCUUUUCAGUAUACCAUGUAUAACUUAAGUUUUCUAAAGUGAAACAUUGUAAGAUGAAUUCCAAAGAUUUUUCAAAUGACGUGCAUUUCUAUUAACUGAAUUAGUAUAUUAUUUAAGUCAGCAGUAUGUUGAUAAAAAUUAACGUAUGGUAAUCUGGAGUCGUAGUUGCAUAAUGUGGUUUGAGUAUGAAGAGUGGCUUGGCAAAGAAUGAGGAAUAAUGGAGUAGGGCGUGUUGACCACUUGUUCAACAAGCGAGUCUCGUUGUCCACGACAGCGCAUUUCAUGAUUCGGUUAAGAUUUUUUUCGUAAAUAAAGCGUUCUGGUUUA